UACGUAGGGUCCGAGCGUUGUCCGGAAUUAUUGGGCGUAAAGAGCUCGUAGGCGGUUUGUCGCGUCUGCUGUGAAAUCCCGAGGCUCAACCUCGGGCCUGCAGUGGGUACGGGCAGACUAGAGUGCGGUAGGGGAGACUGGAAUUCCUGGUGUAGCGGUGAAAUGCGCAGAUAUCAGGAGGAACACCGGUGGCGAAGGCGGGUCUCUGGGCCGUAACUGACGCUGAGGAGCGAAAGCAUGGGGAGCGAACAGG
rnacentral:rRNA from 1 species